CUCGCCCUCUCUCUUUGGGUGGGCGCGGGAAAGACACUGCCCUGUAAUGCGCAGGCCCUGGCACGGAAGCAGCGACGACGCUGUCUGCCUCCAGGAGCUUCUUUGUUUGGAUAAAUUAUGGCCUUGAGAACCAAGAAGGGAAUUAGCAGCAGACAGUUGAAUUUAAAACAAAAUUGCUGCAAAGCAUACAGAAAGCUGUGAAUAUGUAAGUUUCAUGCAAAGUGUAAAACCAAUGCUGCAGUGGAGAAAGAAGCUAUACAAUGGUUGCUCCAAAAGCCACUGAGGAAGAUCAGGAGGAUUGAAACACAUUUGGCUGGCAUAAACUACUUUGAUUGCAUACUCUUCAGAAGAAUUCCAACAAUAAGAGCACAGACUUUUGGCAAGCUCCAAUAUGCACAAUUGCAGUGCACUUGUUUACUUACAUGUUGUAGGAAUGGCAGUAUAAUUAUUUUAUGGAAUUUUAUUUGAUUAGUGUUUGUAUCAUUGUGAUUUCACACAUUUGCA